UUUAUAUGACGCAAUUUUAUUUGAUACUAGUGCUUCAAAAAAAUAAUUAAAAGUCAACAGAUCUUGUUUAUAUAUUUGAUUUGAAUGUAAUUUAAUAUAUUAUUUUUACAAGAUUUAUGUUCGAUAUACAUAUACAUUUAUUUAGUUACUAUUCUCUGCUUAUUUCAUACGAAUUUCAUAGUCUACAGCCUACUUUAUCUAUUAUGUGUGUAACCUAAAAUCAUUGGAAUAAUUAUUCUUGCAUCAACAUUAAUGUACGUGCCAAAUAAUACGUGCAGUACACCUUCAUACGCUAUUGAUUAUUUCCUGUAAAUGAAGAAUUUUAAUAUAAUGUACAAAAUAUAUAAAAUUUAGCAUUAAAAUUGUCGCACAUAUAUUUAAAAAUUAAUUGGAUUAAAGAAUUUUUCAAAAUUUCUGAGAAUGUAAGGCCAACGUAAGAUUUUACACGGAACUAGUUUCCAUUUUCGCGCGUAAGACUACGUCAUAAAGACAGAGGAGGGGGUAUAGACAGCGGACUUCAGACGCGCAGCGUAGACUUCCCUUAGUCAUCUUACGACUGUGCUGUGAGGAGGGUGUUUUGCUCGGUGGUUUCAAAUCCUUUGUGUGCAGUUGUGUGAAUCUCUUCUGUAUUGUUCUACAACAAACAGGAGCCGGAUACAGUCUCACCGUUCGAGAUGGCAUUGGGACAAGCGGAGGGAGUUGGUGUUCGCAACGAUGCUGAAGCGUACUGCACGCUCGGGGACCCCAUGUUCUCCAGUCUCUGCGCCUUUCGUUGGCUUAGUUUAUAUAUUAUAUUGUAUGCAUUGGUUUGGUAAUAUACGUAAUAAUGAGCGUUCGAAGUAUGUUCGAAGAGUGUUUGAUCCGAUAUUUUUUAAUUUCAGAAAUAUAUACUUUGCAUGUCUUAUAUUUUAAAGAAAAUUUGUAUAGUACAUUUUAGCUUGUAGAUUUAGUAGUAUCGUUUCUAAUAUUCGCUCCACUAUUCUGUACGUCAAGAUUUUGUAUAUUUGCUUAAUGUUGAUUAACAGUUUUGUAGACUUUAAGAAAUGAAAUGAAAUUAAUAAAAUUUGGAAAAUGUUUACAAUU